UACGUAGGUGACAAGCGUUGUCCGGAUUUACUGGGCGUAAAGAGCGCGCAGGCGGUCGUUCAAGUCGAGUGUGAAAGCCCCCGGCUCAACUGGGGAGGGUCAUUCGAUACUGAUCGACUCGAAGGCAGGAGAGGGAAGUGGAAUUCCCGGUGUAGUGGUGAAAUGCGUAGAUAUCGGGAGGAACACCAGUGGCGAAGGCGACUUCCUGGACUGUUCUUGACGCUGAGGCGCGAAAGCUAGGGGAGCAAACGGG
rnacentral:rRNA from 1 species